rnacentral:lncRNA from 1 species
CAGGGGGCGGUGUGCGCCCCCGGCGCUGGAGCAGCCGCGUUUCGGGGACCCGGGCAGGCGUGGGGGGCUGCGCUGAGCUCCAGGCCUCCUGCAGGUGCAAUAAGAAUCGUAUUACUAAUGUGGUGUCCUCUGGAAUGGUCACAUGAACACAGUUCCCUGCAGAUGUAAUUGGGAGAGAAGGCACAGUCCUGACACAGGGUAAGACUGUGGAGGUGUAUUGCUGUCCCUACCAGCCUGGAGUGCAGUAGUGUAAUCUCGGCUCACUGCAGCCUCAAACUUCUGGGCUCGAGCGAUCCUCUCACCUCAGCCUCCUGAGUAGCUGGGACUACAGGUUUCUCCUUCUCGUCUUCCAAAGCUGUGCCUUAACUUCCUCGAAAGACAACAUCAGUGCUGGCGGGCCUCAAGAAGAGCCAUCCCAAGGUAUUGACUAGGCAUCAGCGUCUUCACCAGGGCAACACAGAACAUCCCUGCAGAGUUCCUGGUGGCUGCAGUGGCUGGUAGGGGAUGUAUGCCUGCUUUCCAUCAGAUUCCCAAAGCGGAGCCCCUGGAGGCUUUGGCCCAUGGCCCUGAAGCUCCCUUUCACAAGGAAGAAAGACUUUGCAAAGCCAACACCACUAUUGGAGAGAAAGUGGAGAAUGUGUAUUAGAAGUACUAGUCUUUGAAGGCAAAACAGCUGUAUAGAGUGAGCUUAAGUGCUGGAUCCCUGUGGUUAGGAAGGGACACUAAGCCUCCGGGAUGUGAGAGUCCCAUGGAAGGCAGUAGGCCCAGGAUAAAGCAGGUGUCAGCUCAGAAAGCCCACCAUCACCCAGAAAAGGGAAGAAAUACGCUACCACCAUCACUCUUUCUGCCAAUGACUUCUUUGCACACCUCCACCCUAUCUCCUGGCUCAGUCUCCCAUGUUCUCAUAGCUAGGGAGGUCUCCAUUGUAAUUUGUAUGGGGAGGUUAACCUAUAGGCCAUUCUGAUGAUCCCAGCUCCCUUUCACUACAACCCCCGUCUGCAUCCUUUGCUUUGCAGUAGGAUUUGAGAGAGGAAGGAUGAAGAUGUAGCCACAGGAUACAUUUAAACAGGCACAGAGUUUGAGGGGUGGGGGGGAACAAAAGCAAAACAAUAAAACCUUCACCAGUCAUUAAAGAAAUGAAAAUGAACCUUUUGAGAUUGUCAAUUUUUAUCUGCUAAGUCAAGAAAAGCUAAUUUAAUUCCUGGCAAUUUCACAAUAAAAAAAAUUGUGCUAGCUCUUGGUGGCAUUGUAAGUAGUUAAAGGCUUUUUGGGAAGUAAUUUGAAAUACAUCAAGUCUUGAAAAUGAUUAUACCAGUGGAUCCAAUCAUCUCGCUGGUGGAAAUUCAUCUGAAGGAAAUGAUUCAGUGGAAAAAACAACCCGUCUACACUUGUUGCACCUAAAUGUCCAGGAAUAAGGGAAUGACAGAAGAAAUCUCAGCACAUUCUCUGAAUGGAACAGAAACCGAGCGUUUGGAACUAGAAUUGCGCAGACUGAAUUGAAUAUGGAAGUGGCUUUAAAUGGCAUGUUAGGUGGAAACACUGGAUGUCUGGUUGAAAUUUGGUAAGACACACAUUCCCAUGGUCAGAAUCGGAAAAUUUCAACAAAUGAAAAUCAUGGGGUUCACAAAGAGGUGUUGUGGGUUAUAGAAAGCUAUUUUCAAAAAUUUCUUUAAUGAUUCAAAAUUGUUUUUCAAAAAAAGUAGAAGAUUUAGAAACAUGUAUUUUAGGAAGUAUGGCCCAUGGUGUCUAUUGGAAAAAAAGUGGAAGACCUGAUGCAUUGCCCAAGGGGAACUUCUAGCUUAAGAUUACACUGAUGAGGACUGGGAAACACUCAGGCACUUUCAGGCACGCUGAGUAACAGGGGUGUCCUUUUACACAGAGACAAGGUGCUCUGUGGUCCACCCUUUACUUGGAUCCCCAGAUCAGCAUUCUCAUCAGGCAGAAGUAACCAGAGGAGGAAACAGCAUUUCUUCAAAGCUGAAGAGAGCUUUUUGGAGGGGAAAAUAAAAAAUCCUAGGAACUCCUUGCAUGACUGAUGGUUUGAACAAUGGCUUUGCACCCCAAGACCAGCCUGGCCUCGUGGUUGUAAAUCUGGGGGCCGUUGACAAACGGUUUCCCACCUUGGGACUUGAGUCUGCAGUUCAAGAGUCACGUGGGCCUGCCUGAGCCGCAGGGCUUGGCCCCUGUGCUGAGCACAGGCUUCUAGAAGAAGGCUUACGGGAAAGGAAAUGCUCGGGUUUCACAUGAAGGAGGGUGUGUGUGGAGGGGGCAGGGCGGGAGCAGGAGGGAAAGAAUGGUCCCUUUCAACGCAGACAGAUGCAGUCUGGCUCAGAGUCA